UACGAAGGGGGCUAGCGUUGCUCGGAAUCACUGGGCGUAAAGCGCACGUAGGCGGAUUGUUAAGUCAGGGGUGAAAUCCUGGAGCUCAACUCCAGAACUGCCUUUGAUACUGGCGAUCUUGAGUCCGGGAGAGGUGAGUGGAACUGCGAGUGUAGAGGUGAAAUUCGUAGAUAUUCGCAAGAACACCAGUGGCGAAGGCGGACUCACUGGCCCGGUACUGGACGCUGAGGUGCGAAAGCG
rnacentral:rRNA from 1 species